rnacentral:rRNA from 1 species
GACGAACGCUGGCGGCGUGCUUAACACAUGCAAGUCGAGCGGUAAGGCCUUUCGGGGGUACACGAGCGGCGAACGGGUGAGUAACACGUGGGUGACUUGCCUUUAGCUUCGGGAUAAGCCUGGGAAACUGGGUCUAAUACCGGAUAUGACCUCAUGUCGCAUGGUGUGGGGUGGAAAGUUUUUCGGCUAGAGAUGGGCCCGCGGCCUAUCAGCUUGUUGGUGGGGUGAUGGCCUACCAAGGCGACGACGGGUAGCCGGCCUGAGAGGGCGACCGGCCACACUGGGACUGAGACACGGCCCAGACUCCUACGGGAGGCAGCAGUGGGGAAUCUUGCGCAAUGGGCGAAAGCCUGACGCAGCGACGCCGCGUGAGGGAUGAC